rnacentral:lncRNA from 1 species
GAGGUUUGUCUCCUAAUUGAUUUGAAUCCAUAGUUUGGGAUUUUGUCUACAUCUGAUUCUUUUAAAAUGCUUUCUUUUUUAAAUUUGCUUUCCAUAUGAGGAUUGAUACAAUUGAUUCUGAAAGGCAGCUGCAGAAGAUCAUAAGUAAACAAGAUGACUUGAUGACAGUGAAAACUAAUGAAACUGGAUAUCAGGAAGCAAUAGUGAAAGAACCUGAAAUUAACACAACUCUUCAGAUGCGUUUCUUUGGAAAAAGAGGACAAAGAAAACUUCAUUAUAAAGAAUUUCGAAGAUUUAUGGAAAAUUUACAAACAGAGAUUCAAGAAAUGGAAUUCCUUCAGUUUUCUAAAGGUUUGAGUUUCAUGAGAAAAGAAGACUUUGCAGAGUGGCUACUUUUUUUCACUAACACUGAAAAUAAAGAUAUUUAUUGGAAAAAUGUGAGAGAGAAGUUGUCAGCAGGAGAGGUUGGUAUACCCUUUUAUUAUGCAUGUGAUAAAGAUGAAAUAAUAAGUUAGACAUGUUUACAUAAAGUAACUUCUGAAUUAACCAAGACUGUGCUACCC